rnacentral:misc_RNA from 1 species
GAUGAAGAACGCAGCGAAAUGCGAUAAGUAAUGUGAAUUGCAGAAUUCAGUGAAUCAUCGAGUCUUUGAACGCACAUUGCGCCCCCUGGUAUUCCGGGGGGCAUGCCUGUCCGAGCGUCAUUGCUGCCCUCAAGCACGGCUUGUGUGUUGGGCCUCCGUCCUCCUCCCGGGGGACGGGCCCGAAAGGCAGCGGCGGCACCGCGUCCGGUCCUCGAGCGUAUGGGGCUUCGUCACCCGCUCUUGUAGGCCCGGCCGGCGCUUGCCGACACAUCAAUCUUUUUUCCAGGUUGACCUCGGAUCAGGUAGCGAUACCCGCUGAACUUAAGCAUAUCAAUAAGCGGAGGA